rnacentral:rRNA from 1 species
GAAGGCCAGGCUGAAGACUUUUGCCGGAUUAGCUGAGAGGUGGUGCAUUGGCCGUCGUCAGUUCGUACUGUGAAGCAUCCUGUUAAGUCAGGCAACGAGCGAGACCCACGCCCACAGUUGCCAGCGUACUCUCCGGAGUGACGGGUACACUGUGGGGACCGCCGCUGCUAAAGCGGAGGAAGGAAUGGGCAACGGUAGGUCAGUAUGCCCCGAAUAUCCCGGGCUACACGCGAGCUACAAUGGUUGGUACAAUGGGUAUCUACCCCGAAAGGGGACGGGAAUCUCCUAAAACCAAUCUUAGUUCGGAUUGAGGGCUGCAACUCGCCCUCAUGAAGCUGGAAUCCGUAGUAAUCGCGUUUCAACAGAACGCGGUGAAUACGUCCCUGCUCCUU